GACCUCGGAUCAGGUAGGACCACCCGCUGAACUUAAGCAUAUCAAUAAGCGGA
rnacentral:rRNA from 1 species